UUCCGAAAUGGUGAAAGUCACUCUGUGGAGCUGCAGACGUUAUUAAACUCCAUCCUUCUUGCUAUCAUUUUGUAGAAGCAUUGUCUUUUUACUCAUUUCAGUCACUAUUACUGUACCUACGAAGCAGUGGCAAUGAGUUAUCCUCCAACACAACAGUAGCUGUACCGGUUUUAUCAAUCUGCUAAGUUUAAGAAGGGGACUCUCUUGCGAGGGUAGAAUAAAUAGACAGGAUUGUGUCGAGGCACAGAUCUGGGAAAGGGUACUAAAACAUUUCUGCAGCAUUGAAGGUCCCCAAGAACACAGUGGCCUCCAUCGUUCUUAAAUGGAAUAAGUUUGGAACCACCAAGGCUCUUCCUAGAGCUGGCCGCCCGGCUAAACUGAGCAAGGGCCUAGUUUAGGGAGGUGACCAAGAAAACGAUGGUCACUCUGACAGAGCUCUAGAGUUUCUCUGUGGAGAUGGGAGAAACUUCCAGAAGGACAACCAUCUCUGCAGCACCAAUCAGGCCUUUAUGGUAGAGUGGCCAGACGGAAGACACUCCUCAGUAAAACCAUCUCUGCAGCACCAAUCAGGCCUUUAUGGUAGAGUGGCCAGACGGAAGACACUCCUCAGUAAAACGCACGUUUUGAGUUUGCCAAAAGGCACCUAAAGGACUCUCAGACCAUGAGAAACAAGAUUCUCUGGUCUGAUGAGGCACCUAAAGGACUCUCAGACCAUGAGAAACAAGAUUCUCUGGUCUGAUGAGGCACCUAAAGGACUCUCAGACCCAUGAGAAACAAGAUUCUCUGGUCUGAUGAAACCAAGAUUGAACUAUUUGGCCUGAAUGCCAAGCAUCACGUCUGGAGGAAACCUGGCACCAUCCCUUCGGUGAAGCAUGGUGGUGGUAGCAUCAUGCUGUGGGGAUGUUUUUUAGUGGCAGGCUCUGGGAGACUAAUCAGGAUCGGAGCAAAGUACAGAGAGAUCCUUGAUGAAAACCUGCUCCAGAGCGCUCAGGACUUCAGACUAGGGCGAAGGUUCACCUUCCAACAGGACAACGACCCUAAACACACAGUCAAGACAAUGCAGGAGUGGCUUCGGGACAAGUCUCUGAAUGCCAAUGAGUGACCCAGCCAAAGCCCGGACUUGAACCCAAUCAAACAUCUCUGGAGAGUCCUGAAAAUAGCUGUACACCAACGCUCCCCAUCCAAUCUGAGAGAGCUUGAGGGGAUCUGCAGAGAAGAAUGGGAGAAACUCCCCAAAUACAGGUGUGCCAAGCUUGUAGCGUCUUACCCAAGACGACUCGAGGCUGUAAUCGCUGCCAAAGGUGCUUCAACAAAGUACUGAGUAAAGGGUUUGAAUACUAACGUAAAUGAGAUAUUUCUUUAUUUUUUUUCCAUUUGCUAAAAUGUUUAAAAUAUAUUUUUGCAUUGGUAUUAUGUGUUGAUUGAUGAGGAUUUUUUUAAUGAUUAUUAUUAUUUUACUUUUUAUUAACCCCUUUUUCUCACCAAUUUUGUGGUAUCCAAUUGGUAGUUACAGUCCUGUCCCAUCGCUGCAACUCUUGUACGGACUUAGGAGAGGCAAAGUUCAAGAGCAACCCAGCCAAGCUGCACUGCUCAGGGAUGCAAAUUAGACCGUUUUGAAUGCAAAAUAGGUGACCAGCGUGAUUCGUGUAGAUCCAAUGAGAGGGAGGUUGGAUCACUACUGGCUAUAAGCGAAUGAGUGAUGCGCGUUUGGAGCAAUACUGGCUGUAUCCAAGGCUCAGCCAAUCAUUGACAUAACAACAGAAUGCAGCGUAGCACGCGACUGAAGAGAGAAGAGACAACCAACUUACUAGCUACAGCAUCAGCGAGAGCUCUGGAAAGGCAGUUUGCCAGUUACAGCAUCAGCGAGAGCUCUGGAAAGGCAGUUUGCCAGUUACAGCAUCAGCGAGAGCUCUGGAAAGGCAGUUUGCCAGUUACAGCAUCAGCGAGAGCUCUGGAAAGGCAGUUUGCCAGUUACAGCAUCAGCGAGAGCUCUGGAAAGGCAGUUUGCCAGUUACAGCAUCAGCGAGCCUCUGGAAAGGCAGUUUGCCAGUUACAGCAUCAGCGAGAGCUCUGGAAAGGCAGUUUGCCAGUUACAGCAUCAGCGAGAGCUCUGGAAAGGCAGUUUGCCAGUUACAGCAUCAGCGAGAGCUCUGGAAAGCAGCGUGUCCCCUGAACGAUAACGAAGAGGUAACGUUAGGUGAGAAGCCUGACCACGGAGACAGACGGGGCUGAGAAGGUGAUGAAACGGACUUCAUGAGCUGUAACCGAAAAACAACUGGCAUUUAGAAAGUUUUAGGUGAGGGUGAAAGUGGUGGAACAAGUAUUAGCAUUGUUAUGUAUCUUGCUAGCUGGAUUGAAUUCUCCAUUAGCUAGCCAGAGAAAUGUUGAGCAACAUUAGCCAACUCAUCUGAUCAAAUAAUUGAGUUUAUGGUGUGAAAAUUAGCUUGCUAAUGAAGUCAGACAGCUAACGUUACAACAUCAGAUGAGCUGACAUUAGUAACCUAACCAAUUCGCUACAGUAUUAACUGGUAUACGACUCCUUGCCGUUCCUCAAGUUAUAACGCGUUAGUUGCAUACUGGACCCUGGCAAUCUGUGGGAAAUGUUAACUAGCUAACGAACUAACCACUAUCUGUUAAGUAAUGUUUUCAUUCUACAGUAUGUGGUUCAUUUUCAGAAUGAGAGAAUCAGGUGAAAAUGAUACUUAUUAUAAUACUUAUUUUCCACCAUAAUUUGCAAAUAAAUUAAUUAAAAAUCCUACAAUGUGAUUUUCUGGAUUUUAUUUCUCAUUUUGUCUGUCAUAGUUGAAGUGUACCUAGGCCUGUAAUUUUCAUCAUAUCUCUUCUUUUUAAGUGGGAGAACUUGCAUAAUUAGUGGCUGACUAAAUACUUUUUUGCCCCACUGUACUUGUAUGCUUGUAUGCACAGCUAGAUAAUAUCUAGUAAUAUCAUCAACCAUGUGUAGUUAACUAGUGAUUAUGAUUGAUUGUUUUUUAUAAGAUAAGUUUAAUGCUAGCUAGAAACUUACCUUGGCUUACUGCAUUCGUGUAACAGGCAGUCUCCUUGUGGAGUGCAACGAGAGAGAGGCAGGUCGUUAUUGCGUUGGACUAGUUAAAUGUAUGGUUGCAAGAUUGGAUCCCCUGAGCUAACAAGGUGAAAAUCUGUCGUUCUGCCCCUGAACAAGGCAGUUAACCCACCGUUCCUAGGCCGUCAAUGAAAAUAAGAAUGUGUUCUUAACUGACUUGCCUAGUUAAAUAAAGGUAUAAAAAAUA